UAAUUCGUUUUGGCCAGAUCCUCAUUUAGUUAUGGUCGAUUCACACAUAACUACUCAAAAUCACCCGUUAUCACAAGUCUGACUAUAUCAUUGACAUUGAAAAACAGAGAAAAACUAUUGUGUGAAUAUUGGUGAGCUGACUA
rnacentral:pre_miRNA from 13 species